GCGUCAGUGUACGCUCGGACGUUGCGCGUGCGCGUCUCUGCCUAGUUUGUUCUGUUGACUGUGUUAGAGCGCAUGUGAGCUUUGGAUAUUGAAAUGGACGCUAAAGAAAAACAGGUUGGUGGGUAGCCUGGCUGCGUCACUCGCUCUGCUAGUGAUGGAAUUUGUCACCUUCAUCCUGGGACUAACCAUGUUCUCUUCAUCCGUCUCACUGACUUCAAUCGGUUGUCAUGGCUUCGCCUCUAUCGCUCUGACCUACAUUAUUCUAGACGGCUGGAUGUGCGACUGGUUUUGGGUCGUGUUUGUUCUCUGUUCAGUGCUACCAUCCUUGGUUGAUUUUAUUUCUGCCGCCUGUACCUUUUGUUCAAUGAAGUGGUGAUAUUAAUUAUAUAUGUGAUAGAAGUAUGACUUUUGGAUU